CGCUGCGCCUUCCCGUUCGUUCUUCAUACAUUAUUUGCUUGUUGCCCUCCCCUCAUCCACGGCAACCGCACUGGUCCAUCACCACCAUCACCGUCGUCGUCGUUCACCCGAAGCGGAAGCAGCACUCGGUCUCUCCCGUUCCACGCACUCGGCCCUCUCUGCCCCUCCCCCCUCUCCCCCCUCCCCCGGUGUAGCCAUCAAGGCGUGACGGAGAGCGGCGCGUAUCUGACCCCUGACCUUGUCCCGUGGCUCAGGCCUGGAAAGACCGACACGCGUGCGCACAGUCGUGUGUGCUGAUCAAAAUGAUGUCCUCUGCAAGUCUCCUGGAGAAGGUGCCCCAGCCAUGGGCGGCGCUGGUGCGGCCAUUCCUGCAGCGCUCGCACGAGUUCGAAGACAAGGAGCCGCUCGUGGCGUACUACCUGCGCACGCACGUCGCCUUCCUGUGCAUGCGGCAGCGGAGCAAGGAAGACAAGGAAGGCACUGCCUUCCUCAUGACCCUGCUGGACGCGCUGGAGGCGAGCAAGGCGCGCCUCGGUACGCAGCUGCAAGGCGUUGAUGGGCGGACGGUGCUCACCAAGUUUGCGCUCAUGCUCUUCGCCCGCGCCGAUGACGCGGAGCGGACCGGGAACGCGUCCAUGGCGAUUGUGCGCCUCUUCUACACCGCGUCCGUGCUGUUCGAGGCGACGGCGCAGUUCACCGACGACGGCGCCAUGGACUCCGUUGCGGCACAGAAAAGCAAGUACGCCAAGUACAUCGCCACCCGCAUGAAGAAGGCACUCGACAAGAAUGAACCUUACGUGAGCCCCAACAAGCUGGAGGCUGCGGACGACGAUGCGGCGGGCGGUGUCGGCAGCGUGAAUGGCGCGGCCCAGACGAACACGUUCACGACGGCGCCGGCGAGCUGCUUCAUGCAGCCGGCAUCGCAGCCUACGUCCGUCUCCAACCGGGCGCCAGCGCCAAGCACCGCGCACGAAAACUUACCUGCUCCACCGUAUACGCCUCCACCGGCGACGCAGAAGCUUGACACACCGCCGCCACCGUACACACAGGACGCCGACACUCAGGGACGAAGCAAGACACCAGUGCAGCCGUCCCUCAUGAAUAACAUGUACGCGCCACCGCAGCCUCAGCACCCAUCACAGCAGCAGCAGCGGCUCUCCACCAGCUCGGCGGUGCCGAGCCUCCCGCCGCAGUCAUCCUCCGCGCAGCAGCGGUACGCGGCUUCGCCGAGCGCCAGCGGCGGCGUCGGUGCGACCGGAUUCAAGCCCUCUGUGGACCAGAUGAUCGACGCCCAGAAAUUGGCCAGCCAGGCAGUGAGUGCGCUGCAGUUCUAUGAUUACGAAAAUGCGAAGCAGCAACUGGUGGCGUCGCUGCGGGUGCUGAACGGGGUCCAGUGAUGGCGACGACGAUGGUCAUCCUCAAGAUGGCGGUGCUUCGCUCUGCAGGAUGAAGCUGGUGGAGCACGAAAGGAAAGAAAGCAAGUGCGAAACGGCAGAUGCGAGGGUAUGGAGGAUCACACAGCCUGAAGAGCCCCUACGCAGUGUAGCCGACACUCUCCCACGCAGCUUCUCCCUACUCCACAUCGUGUGCCCUCUUUUCGUCUGCUGUGGCCGUAUCCCGGCAGCGUGGCGCGCCUACAUGUACGCGCGCACUCGUUCUUGUGGGUGUGGAGGUGAUGUUGCUCACCUGGCAGACGAAAGGAAACACGACAGGGGAGAGAGAGGGGGGAGGCGGGCGGCGGCGACGCGGAUGGCGUGUGCAUGUGUCUGCGCCCUCGCUGUCCCCAUCCUGGUGUUGCAUCCAUUCUCGCGUUACUAGUGUUCCAAUGGCGUGUCCAUGGACUUCGCAUUCGCUUCUAUUUUGGUUGUUGUUGACGGAGAUGUGUCCAAGUAGGUGAGUCGGUGGGUAGGCGCGUACUAGGCCGGGUGCCGGUGCGUGAAAGCCCGCUGGCAUCUCGAGAAUAUCCCUCUCCCGCUCUGGCUUUCCCAGCACCACCACCACACAAACACAUACGCUUCUCUUCUUCAUCGCCCCUCUGGCGAGUCGUUCGCCCGCGUGCAUAGGCCCGGCGUGCGUGUGUGGUGCGUGCAUCACCAAGGUGUGUCACGGGCGCGCGACUCCAC
rnacentral:misc_RNA from 1 species